UCUUCGUACGAGUCCUCACUAGUAUGUGCGUGGAAGAAAAGCCUCUCCCCCACUGGCUGCCAUGACUGAGCGACAGGGCGACACUUUCUGUUCCCAUGACUGACCUCCGUGUCCGAAACAACCGCGCCAGUUUGUAGCGUUACCACGGUGCACUUCUACUAUUUUAUGGUUGUAUUUGUGCGACUUGUGAAUCGUAGCUGCUGUCCUUUUGAGGCUAGCUGGCUAGCAGAGCCGUGACGGACGGGCGAGCCAGCUGGUCGGACAGCGCUACAGUAACGAUAGCAAACACGCUAAUUAGCCUUCCGACUCGCCCUGGAUUACUGUCUUCACAAUCAAAGAGCCCUCAAGGUGUUCGAGGUUCACGUGUAACCGGCGAAAUGAAGAUAACUGUGGAUUUCGAGGAAUGUCUGAAGGACUCCCCACGGUUCAGAGCUACCAUAGAGGAAGUGGAGGGGGAUGUGUGUGAGUUGGAAUCUAAGCUUGACAAACUGGUGAAGUUGUGUAUUGGGAUGAUAGAUGCUGGGAAAGCUUACAAUGCUGCCAACAAACAGUUUGUCAACGGGAUCCGGGAGCUAGCCCUCCAAUCUACCAAAGAUGAAGUCAUCGAGUCCAGUCUCUCAAAGUUUGCAGAAAGCCUUCAGGAGAUGAUCAACUAUCACACGAUAUUAUUUGAUCAGGCCCAGAGAUCAAUCAAGACCCAGCUUCAAACAUUUGUUAAAGAUGAUCUACGUAAGUUUAAAGAAGCCAAGAAGCAAUUUGACAAGGUGAGUGAAGAAAAGGAAGCAGCACUGAAUAAGAAUGCCCAAGCUCCCCGCAACAAACAGCAUGAAGUAGAAGAGGCUACCAACAUCCUGACUGCCACACGAAAGUGCUUCCGACACAUUGUCCUCGACUACGUUUUACAGAUUAAUGUGCUACAGUCCAAGAGAAGAUCAGAAAUCUUAAAAUCUAUGCUGUCCUUCAUGUAUGCCCACCUGACCUUUUUUCACCAAGGCUAUGACCUCUUCAGUGAAUUACAGCCUCUAAUGAAACAGCUUGGAGGGCAGUUGGACCAGCUGGUGGUGGAUGCUGCCAAAGAGAAGCGGGACAUGGAGCAAAAACACUCCACCAUCCAGCAAAAGGACUUCUCAACCGACGACACAAAGUUGGAAUACAACGUGGAUGCGGAUAAUGGCAUCGCCAUGGAAGGUUAUCUUUUUAAGAGGGCCAGCAAUGCCUUCAAAACAUGGAAUAGACGGUGGUUCUCCAUCCAAAACAAUCAGCUGGUUUACCAGAAAAAAUUUAAGGACAACCCGACUGUAGUUGUGGAAGACCUGAGGCUAUGCACAGUCAAACACUGUGAAGAUUUAGAGCGGCGCUUCUGUUUUGAGGUGGUGUCACCCACCAAGAGUUGCAUGAUGCAAGCAGACUCUGAGAAGUUGCGCCAGGCAUGGAUCAAAGCAGUCCAGAACAGCAUUGCUACUGCCUUUCGUGAUAAGGGCGAAGAUGCUGAGAAGUUGGACAGGAAGUCUUCCACAUCAACUGGGAGCUUAGACUCUAGUGGGGAGCCCAAGGAGCGAUCACUGAAAGGGGAGAGUGCCCUGCAGAAAGUCAUUGCAAUCCCGGGUAACGCUUGUUGCUGUGACUGUGGCCAGCCAGAUCCACGAUGGGCCAGCAUCAAUCUGGGCAUCACACUUUGUAUCCAGUGCUCUGGAAUUCACAGGAGCCUGGGUGUCCAUUUCUCAAAGGUCCGCUCCCUGACUUUGGAUUCGUGGGAGCCAGAACUGCUUAAGCUUAUGUGUGAACUUGGAAAUGGAGUUAUUAACCUGAUAUAUGAAGCUCGGCGAGAGGAGCUGGGAGCGAGGAAACCACAGCCAGGCGACCCAAGACAUGAAGUGGAAGCCUACAUCAAAGCCAAGUACGUGGAUCGCAGGUUUGUGCGCAGGCCGUCUGACGAGGAGCUACGGCACAAGGUGGUGUCCCUCAGCAAACAAGAGAAGAGACUCAGCAGCAGUACUGAGCACCUCCCCCCAAGACCUCCGCCACCCACCCCCAAACUUCGGCCUGGUUCCAACAAUUCUGGGCAGUCAGCUGUUGCCAGUGGCUCGGAGGCCCGGCGGGACUCUCUCUUCUGUCCUGACGAGCUUCACUCACUCUUCUCCUACUUUGACAACUCCUCCAAGCUCAGGAGCAUCAAAAGCGCUGACAGUGGCAUCCAGCAAAGUGCCGAUGGCAGUAGGGAAAUGCUGGUCACCACCCCCUCUAAUAGUAGUUUGGCAGAUGCAGAUGUUGCUGAGUGUCCGCCCAUGCCAAUGCCAGCCACCCUGCCUCCGCCAUCACCUUGUAAGGAGAUGGUGUUCUGCGAGCCCAAGGAGUACAGUUCAGGCCUUCAGCUCUACUGGGCUUCGUGUGCCCGCAGUCUGCCCGACAUGGCUGAGGCGUUGGCUCACGGAGCUCCAGUUAACUGGGUCAACACAGAAGAUGACAAGCGGACACCACUCAUUAUGGCUGUGCGGGGGGGUUCAUUGGUAACCUGUGAGUUUCUACUUCAAAAUGCAGCAAAUGUGAAUCAGCAAGAUGCUCAAGGUCGAGGACCUCUGCAUCACGCCACCAUGCUGGGACGCACAGGGCAAGUGUGCUUAUUCUUGAAAAGAGGAGCCAAUCAAAAUGCUGCAGACAUAGAGGAGAAAACACCGCUGGCCAUUGCGGUGGAAGCGGCCAAUGCAGACAUUGUUACAUUGCUGCGUCUGGCCAAGAUGAACGAGGAGAUGCGCGAGGCUGAGGGGCCCUACAGCCAGUCAGGUCAAUAUAACGCCAACAGCCCCACUGAGAUGCAAUACAGGAAGUGUAUGCAGGAGUUUAUCAGUCUGCAGCUGGAUGACACAUAAUGCACUGUACAAGAGUGUCACAAAACGGGCUCAGACGGAAAAAAAAAAAUACAGCAGUUUGUAGAAUAUUUGUCCUGAGUUGGUAUGGCUUCUUAUGAAUUAGAAGCGUUUUCUCAAGAAAAAAACUUCCAGUUUAGUGGGAGAUGAUUGCAUCCAGUAUUCCGUUUCAACAUACAACAGCUCAUAGUCUCUGAGGUCACACACAUUACAUGUUAGACACAGGUUGCAUAGUCCCUUUAAAUUCAAUGCACUUCCACUAACCAUAAAGUACGACAAUUUCCGCUAGAUCCCUGCCACAAUAUUAGACAUUCUCAUCCUUUUUGUGAGUGAAAAUUACAUCUGUUAUGAGACUACUAUUUUUAAAUGACUUUAGUUUAUAAAGUAGUAUAAUCAUACUCAAUAUUAGAGCUUUAUUUUUGUAAUGUGCGUAUCCACCCAAAUUCCUGUCAGAGUUGUAACCAGCGGCUGUCUCUUUGAAACUUCCAAUGUCACUUUAUUUUGUUUAAUGUCCAAACGUGAGGCAUCUUUCUAUCAUGAUGUUGAUAUGCAACCAUCUUGAUGACCUAUUUUGUUUCCAGAUAAUUCUGUAGUGUACGCACUAAACGAGUUGGCUGUCAUUGAUGGCGAUAGAUGUCCAGUCCAUUUCAACUGGGUUUUCAAAUGGAUUGGACAUUAAUGGCGGCCAAUGAGUUAAAAUGUUCAUAUAAAACUGUUACGCUCGAGGUAGGGUGGGAAAGAAAAUCCAUGUUGUUUUUGGACCAAAGUUUCCUUUAUGAUUGUUGAAAACCUGCUGGGUAUUGUACUUACUAUUGUAAGAAAUGACUGUGAUGGUUACAAAUGGCGGGUUUUAAAUGAAAAUUGGCACAGUAAAUGCACGCGGGAACGCAAUUUUUGUUUAAUUUGGUCCAACAGAUGUUUUUAACUCAUUUUCGUUUGCAGAAUCUAAAACUGAUCUUAGUUUUCCCUCUAACAUGUCAAGUUUUCACACUAUAAUAGCCCUCUUUUCUUAAAAAAUGAGAAAAAUUCUGUGCCAGAGAUGUCCCGAGCCAAUCAGUUGAUCGGCAAUCAGGCCGAUCGCGCCAUUGUUCAGAGGCUCGGAAUCGGGGGGAAAAAGAUUGAGUUAUUAAUUUUCAAAAUACAGUUGUACCUCUACUUACAACGCCUCUACAUGCAGAACUUUCAUGUUAAGACACGCCUCAACGGGAAAAUAUUACCUCGUUACAAAAGAAAUUUUAAGAUUAGAAAGGCAAAAAUACAGUAUAGCUGGUACUCGAAGUUCCCAGAGUUCAGUGAAUGUAACAUAUUUAUAGCUGCUCUGCCAUUGGCUAUUGCCUAGCAUUCAUGGCAUCCAAUUAGCUAAGAGGAGCUUCUACUGUAUGUAUAUGUGGGUAUCCCAGCGUCCUCUUCAUUCGCCCCUUCUGUUUCGACAGCUUUACAGUAGUGUAUUAACUUCUAUUCUUAUUACGCACAACUCUGAUUUUUUGUUUAUUCAUACCUGUCAACCUGAGGCCGUUGGCAAUCUUACAAAUUGUGACAUAUGCCCUUACAAAUUGGUGACUAAUCUUACAACGUCGUAUAUAGCGUGCAAUAUGAAACAAAAAUAACUCAUUUAAAAUAAUGAUUUCAUUGGUAAUAUUGUAACAUAUAACCUGGUGCAAUCAAAGAACAAGCAAUAUCUUCUGAUACAUCAUGAUUAUUAAAAUUUAACAGUGACUUUUGUUAUAAUGAUAUGUAUAACUUUUGGCAAUUUCUAUCAUUUCUUUUGAUGGCUGCACUUCAUGGCACUUCAGCUCGCAAUAUAGUUUGACUUGACGGUAGUUCGUUAGUCUUUCCAAUUAUAAAUUAAAAAGGUCAAUUGAUAAAAUUAACUUACCGAUGCAAUCUUUGAGUCAGGGAACAUUUCUUUUGCUAAUUCUGAGAAGUGAUCAGCAAUAUUUGCGGGCAAAUUGUGUUCGGCAACAAAUUGGCAGAAUAAAAUCUCCGCUUUCGUCACUUUUCAUUCUGCAGACUUCAUCUUUAUGACCAGUGUUGUUAAUCUCACUCUUAAAAAGUAAUUAAUUACAGUUACAAAUUACUUCUCCCAAAAAGUAAUUGAUUUAGUAACCUGAAUGUAAGUAAUUAGUUAUUUGGCAAAGUAGCUGGUGUUACCUUUCAAAACAAAAAAACUUAGUAACCUUUGCUAUGUUUGGAAGUCAUUUAAUGUUGUGAAUGAGCCGUUAAAGUUGUUAACAUUGCUCCCAUUUUUGCAUUAGUUCCCUUCUGUCUACUUUCGACAUGUGAAAGUUUUAAAACUGUUUCAUCAUUUAAAGAUAAAUUCAAGUCAAGAUUUUGCCGAUUUAGGAGUAUUUUAGAUAAAAAGUUACUUAGGUUAGCUAAGAAGGUUCUCUACAACAGAGCCUAUCUGGGAAGUCUACUGCGUUAAAAUGGCGGCUGUUUGCCAACGCCGCCGAGUCUGUCAUGCGGCGCUGUCAUAUAUCGUCAUAUUUCGAGCAUGUUGUCGGAUGUAGAAACAAAUGGCGAGUCGCAUUUUACGUCGGAUGUCGAAAAAAGUGUGUGAAAGCGAUCGUAUGUCGACGUACCACUGUAUGUCAAUUUUUUUCUUUGUUCAGAUUGAUUAUUAAUCAUCUAUAAUAUCGGGGAAAAUGCGACAGUAACAAAAAUAAAAUAAAAUUAGGCGAUAGUUUUGUGGUAGAUAUCCGUGACCUAUUUACAGACACUAUUUUUUUCAUUGUGACGUAAUUUGUUUAAAAGUUUAAAAUAUGCGAGUGAAUAAUUUUUUAAAAGUCUAAACUAAAUAUUAGACAUCAAUUAAUGAUUCUAAGCUAAAAAGAAAAAAAAUACAUUUCAAAUUAUAAAUAUCAUUAUUUACCUUUUUAUGGUUGGGUUGAAACAAAAGCGGUUGCGCGAUGUCUGUAAACAGGGGUCUCCAGGGUAAAAUGGACAAAUUAAAAAUAGUUCGGGGGCUUAAUACGCCAUCAAACUACUCUGGCAGCAUACAGACAUAUUGUUCUAUCAAACACAACUGUUCUUUUGGCUUACAAUGCAGCGGUUUAUUUUAAAGAGGGGUGCAAGAGCAGAAACUGCUUUUUCAGCCUUGUCUGUCUUUUCCGCCAUAUACGUUUUAUAUUCAGCAACACUCUCGGAAACAGCGGAAGAGGAAGUACUGUAAAAAGUACAGUACUGUACUGGGACUCCGUAUCGGCGGAUUCUCAAAAUCCGGUGACUCUGACUCGGGUGCAAAAAUAUGUGGUCGGGACAUCCCUAAACUUAACAUAUGUGCUUGUUUCUAUAAAAAAUCAGAUUGACAUGCAAUGAAAUAUGAAAUUAUUGAACUAUUAUGUUACAUGAGAUAUGGCUUCUGUAAUAAUGAUUCUUUAGUGUUCAACUUAAAGAUAAUCGCGUUUGAAGUUCCAACAAUAGUCAGCCAUGAUUAUUUCGCUUAUCUGGAGGCUAAACUGCAAGGAGAAAACAUGAUAUGCUUGAGAAAAAACUAACAGCAAUUUUGGAAUCAGCCUGCCAAUUUUAGUUUUAUUCAGCUUAAAAUUCUAACUCAGCAAAAAUAUUUGGGUUAUUGUACCCCUGUGUAAUUAAUAUUUGAUUGUGAAGAAUUAGAAGGGAUCAUCCAAACGUGUAGAUACUGCGUUGUAAAAACGUAAUGUUGUUUGCCUGCCCCAUCCAGCCCCAAAUAUUUGGACAGCGCACAAGCACUUUGAUUAAAGGAGCCGUAUGUACGAUGAUAAUUACGUCGCCGCCAGUGAACGGAACUUUCCCCUCUACACACUGGUCCUUUAAAUGACUAUGACGCUGCAUCACCCGAUGGUGCGUUUUCGGGAUGUGCUGGACUGUUGAAUGCCUUUGCACGCUGCUUUUAUUUGUACUGUAUAUAUAAAAAAAAAACCAAUCAUCUGUCAUUUUUGGAAUAACGAGUGUUUGGACCUAUGAUGAGACAGAAGUGAGGAUGAAAGAGAUGAUUAGCGACUGCGGAUGAGGGCAACGAAAUAGAACGUGAUGAAGCUCAGUAUGAUCACAACUGCUUAAGUUGUAGAAUUUUGUGUUAUAUGGGUCGAUGUCAAUUCCCGCUCAAGAGUUUGUGCCUUUCUUGUGUUGGCUUCUUUCUCGACCCAGCUGUAUUUGUUGUCUAUAAAAGGCUGCACUUUAAGCAAUACAGUUGAUAACUUGUGUGUACGUGUGAGUGUCUUGCUUGCUUCUUCUGUUUCAUCUUGUCAUCUUUCUGGGCUUGGUUUCUCUUUCGUACAUCCGGCCGCGCUGGCGCGCUCACAGGUGAUGAAACCUACCAGGAUAUUUUCCAGGAUUUCACCCACAUGGCCUCCAACGACCCAGACAAACUGAACCGCUACCAGCAUUAUGACCCCCACAAACCCUGACGAAGACCACCCGUCUUUCAUUUCUGACAUCCAAUUGAAUGCUUUGACUCAGAGCCUUGAAGCGAAGGUCCGCUGAUGGAUGACGACCUUCCGUCGUGAAAGUGAAUGGUACGCUGUUCUCCGUCAUAGAAAUAACUCGAUUGUGCUUUUAUCAAGCUUUUAUUUCAAUUUGCACAAAUCAAUUUGUCUUACAUGACCGCCAGUGUUUACCUCAAGGUAAGACGUGUGCAUAUGUACCGUCAUGUGUAUGUCAACUUUUUACUGGUAUCUUUAUUACAGUACACGUACAUCCUUUUGGUUUGUAAGCAAUUUUAUUGUCACAAUUUCAGUUAAAUUUUCUUUCAAAUUGUGAUGAAUUGUCCACACAUUUCUUUUUUUUUUGUUUGUGACCUUUUUAUGUUUUAAUUUGAAAUGCGAAAAAUGACUGUACACUUUUAAUGAAAUGUUUAGCAUUGCAACAUGAAGCCUGGAGAGAAAAAAAAAACACGUUCUUGUGUGACAUACAAUAGUAUUGAAACCAAAGUGUGAUCAUUCUUCUUAUUCUGCAAUUUGUCUCCCUUUCAAAAAGUGUAUGUUUGUGUCUUUGUCUUCCGUGUUCUUUCACUUCAUGAAAAAUGAGAAAACAAGUUGGGAUUUAAAAACAAAAAUGCUGUACAGAAAUGUUAGAAUGGUUCACUGGUACUUGAAUGACACUUUUGUAUAUUCUCUCUCCCUUUUCGUCCUCUAGUUCUUUUAAUUUUGUUACAUGUCCUGUACCAUAUUUGUAUUAUUAUAGCUGAACUUCAAUACACAAAGUAAUUCCA